UGCCAAUGGCACUGCCCGGUAGCUAAAUGCGGAAGAGAUAAGUGCUGAAAGCAUCUAAGCACGAAACUUGCCCCGAGAUGAGUUCUCCCUGAGACCUUGAGUCUCCUGAAGGAACGUUGAAGACGACGACGUUGAUAGGUCGGGUGUGUAAGCGCAGCGAUGCGUUGAGCUAACCGAUACUAAUGAACCGUGAGGCUUAACCUU
rnacentral:rRNA from 2 species